AACGAACGUUAGCGGCACGCUUAAUACAUGCAAGUCGAGCGAGAAGCCUUCGGGUGGACAGCGGCGCACGGGUGAGUAACACGUAGGUAAUCUACCCUUGGGUGGCGGACAACAGUUCGAAAGGACUGCUAAUACGGCAUAACACCGUAAGGUCAAAGGGGGCCUCUUCUUGAAAGCCCUCGCCUGAGGAUGAGCCUGCGGCGCAUCAGCUAGUUGGUGAGGUAAAAGCUCACCAAGGCAAAGACGCGUAGCUGGUCUGAGAGGAUGGACAGCCACACUGGAACUGAGACACGGUCCAGACUCCUACGGGAGGCAGCAGUAGGGAAUCUUGCGCAAUGGGCGAAAGCCUGACGCAGCGAUGCCGCGUGAGUGAUGAAGGCCUUCGGGUUGUAAAGCUCUGUGGGGAGAGAAGAAUAAGCGGUAGUUAAUACCUGCCGUGAUGACGGUAUCUCCUUAGCAAGCACCGGCUAACUCUG
rnacentral:rRNA from 1 species